rnacentral:rRNA from 1 species
ACGCUCGACACCUACGGGAGGUAGCAGUCGGGAAUAUUGCGCAAUGGAGGAAACUCUGACGCAGUGACGCCGCGUAUAGGAAGAAGGUUUUCGGAUUGUAAACUAUUGUCGUUAGGGAAGAAAAAGGACAGUACCUAAGGAGGAAGCUCCGGCUAACUACGUGCCAAGCAGCAGGACGGUAAUCUGAGGGCCGGGCGUGGACGAAGGC